AAACCAACAGGGAUUGCCUCAGUAACGGCGAGUGAAGCGGCAACAGCUCAAAUUUGAAAUCUGGCCCCGUCGGGGCCCGAGUUGUAAUUUGUAGAGAGUGUUUCGGGUGAGACCACGGUCUAAGUCUAUUGGAACAUGGCGUCAUAGAGGGUGAGAAUCCCGUACGUGACCGUGGCUCGAGCCCAUGUGAAGCCUCUUCGACGAGUCGAGUUGUUUGGGAAUGCAGCUCAAAAUGGGUGGUAAAUUUCAUCUAAAGCUAAAUACUGGCUGGAGACCGAUAGCGCACAAGUAGAGUGAUCGAAAGAUGAAAAGCACUUUGGAAAGAGAGUCAAAAAGUACGUGAAAUUGUUGAAAGGGAAGCGCUUGCAACCAGACCUGUCCGUAGGUGAUCAGCCGCUGUUCUCAGCGGUGCACUCGCUCUGCGAUCAGGCCAGCAUCGGUUUCGGCGGUCGGAUAAAGGCCCUGGGAAUGUAGCUUCUUUCGGGGAGUCUUAUAGCCCUCGGUGCAAUGCGGCCAGCCGGGACCGAGGACCGCGCUUCGGCUAGGAUGCUGGCGUAAUGGUUGUAAGCGACCCGUCUUGAAACACGGACCAAGGAGUCUACCAUCUAUGCGAGUGUUUGGGUGUUAAACCCAUACGCGGAAUGAAAGUGAACGGAGGUGAGAACCCUUUAGGGCGCAUCAUCGACCGAUCCAGAUGUCUUCGGAUGGAUUUGAGUAUGAGCAUAGCUGGUGGGACCCGAAAGAUGGUGAACUAUACUUGAAUAGGGUGAAGCCAGAGGAAACUCUGGUGGAGGCUCGCAGCGGUUCUGACGUGCAAAUCGAUCGUCAAAUUUGAGUAUAGGGGUAAGUGUCAAACUUCACAAAUA
rnacentral:rRNA from 1 species